GUUCUCGGGGACUGUACCAGGCUCCUGGCCCUUCCAUGUGGGCUUCUCCCCCAUCUCUCCUUCUUGGAUGCCAUGAGUUGAGCAGCUUUCCUCUGCUACACUUUGCAACAUGAUGUUUUUGCCCUGCAAGCAGCCAACCAUGGACUGAAACACCUGGAACCGUCUCUAGAGGAACAAAAUCAGCAGAAAACAGGCAAGGGUCUUCAGCUAGGCUUCUGGGAGGAGAGCGGACCCUCCACGAUGGCGUCCCCCAGCCAGCUGACUUCCUCCUCCUUCCCCCAGUCCAUCAGCUUCAAGCUUAUUGGAUGACGCCCCCCACAGGCAGGGUUGUCUCCCCAUCAGCAUCAGCAUGCCCGCCCGGUGCCAACUGUCUCAGGGGUACACCCGGAAGUGCGCUACCCCAAGCUGCAAGGCAUUUCUUAAUCUGGCCAAGGCGACAAUCACAAUUCCAGUUCACA
rnacentral:lncRNA from 1 species